AACCCACAUCUGGCAGCUCACAGUUCCAGCUCCAGAUGCCCUCAUCCCACAAGUAGACACAUACGUAUACACAGAAUUAAGACCAACUAAUUGCAAUGUAUUUAUUUAUGUAUGUAUCUUGGAGGGAUAACCUGUUUCCUUUUAAUUUUUUGUUUGUUUUGAGAUAGGACCUCACUAUGUGGCCAAGGAUGACCUCCAACUCCUGAUCCUCCUGCAUUCACCUUCCAAGAGCUUUAAUUUUAGCAGUGCUAUCAUACCUGGCCUCAAGUGUUUUUAAAAACUGUUAAAAAAAAUUGGAGCCGGGCUCAGGUAUAUUGCCUAGUGGUUAAAGCCCUUGCUGUACCUUUAAUCCUAGUACACAGAAAGCAGACCCUAUGAAUUUGAGGCCAAAUUGGCCUACAUGAUGGGAGAUAUUCUGUCUCAAAUAACGGUGAUGAUUACCAAGGAAGACCUCUGCAUGAGUGUAAAGACUCACUGAGCAUGCACACCCAGGGCAUGCACAUCCAUUGAAGGUUUGAAGUGCUGGCUUCCUAGGUGAACCUAGCCACCUGGGCACAGGACUGUUACUUAUAUCAUCCACUUGGGUCACUGCUAAUCUCCUUAGCCAGAGUGAAAUGAGACUGUGACCCUAGCUGGGCCAAUCAGAAUGUUUCCCUGGGAGAUUCUGAAUGUGGGCUGAUAUGGGGGUAAGGAAGAAAUUGUUUUCCUUAGAGUGGCUAAGGCUUAGGGCAUGAGUCUGGAGGCUGAUGACAUUCAGGGAGUUGAGACCCAAAAGUGGGUAGAUAACCCUUCUGGGAUCGUGGGAUCUCAUUAAUGAAGACCUGGACUGCCUGAGCUAAGUCAGAUGCACUGAUGAGGCCUGCUGUAUACUUUUGACCGACAGACAGACAGAUGACAGACCAUCCUGUCGAUUAUGGUCCAUUCACACUACCUCUUCUUUGGUUCUUUGGGGAGGGCGAGAUGUCCAGCCAGAUCCUGCCUCAAGGUUUUUUUGUUUUUGUUUUUGUUUUUGUUUUUUUUUUUUUGGACAGGGUUUCUCUGUGUAGCCCUGGCUGUCCUGGAACUCACUCUGUAGUGUAGACCAGGCUGGCCUCGAACUCAGACAUCCACCUCCCUCUGUCUCCCAAGUCCUGGGAUUAAAGGCAUGCACCACC
rnacentral:lncRNA from 1 species